AUCGGGGCAGGGUGAGUCGACCCCUAAGGCGAGGCCGAAAGGCGUAGUCGAUGGGAAACGGGUUAAUAUUCCCGUACUUGGUGUUACUGCGAAGGGGGGACGGAGAAGGCUAUGUUGGCCGGGCGACGGUUGUCCCGGUUUAAGCGUGUAGGUGUGUGUUCCAGGUAAAUCCGGUUCACUUUAACACUGAGGCGUGACGACGAGGCACUACGGUGCUGAAGCAACAAAUGCCCUGCUUCCAGGAAAAGCCUCUAAGCAUCAGGUAACAUCAAAUCGUACCCCAAACCGACACAGGUGGUCAGGUAGAGAAUACCAAGGCGCUUGAGAGAACUCGGGUGAAGGAACUAGGCAAAAUGGUGCCGUAACUUCGGGAGAAGGCACGCUGACACGUAGGUGAAGUGAUUUACUCAUGGAGCUGAAGUCAGUCGAAGAUACCAGCUGGCUGCAACUGUUUAUUAAAAACACAGCACUGUGCAAACACGAAAGUGGACGUAUACGGUGUGACGCCUGCCCGGUGCCGGAAGGUUAAUUGAUGGGGUCAGCGCAAGCGAAGCUCCUGAUCGAAGCCCCGGUAAACGGCGGCCGUAACUAUAACGGUCCUAAGGUAGCGAAAUUCCUUGUCGGGUAAGUUCCGACCUGCACGAAUGGCGUAAUGAUGGCCAGGCUGUCUCCACCCGAGACUCAGUGAAAUUGAACUCGCUGUGAAGAUGCAGUGUACCCGCGGCAAGACGGAAAGACCCCGUGAACCUUUACUAUAGCUUGACACUGAACAUUGAGCCUUGAUGUGUAGGAUAGGUGGGAGGCUUUGAAGUGUGGACGCCAGUCUGCAUGGAGCCGACCUUGAAAUACCACCCUUUAAUGUUUGAUGUUCUAACGUGGACCCGUUACCCGGGUUGCGGACAGUGUCUGGUGGGUAGUUUGACUGGGGCGGUCUCCUCCUAAAGAGUAACGGAGGAGCACGAAGGUUGGCUAAUCCUGGUCGGACAUCAGGAGGUUAGUGCAAUGGCAUAAGCCAGCUUGACUGCGAGCGUGACGGCGCGAGCAGGUGCGAAAGCAGGUCAUAGUGAUCCGGUGGUUCUGAAUGGAAGGGCCAUCGCUCAACGGAUAAAAGGUACUCCGGGGAUAACAGGCUGAUACCGCCCAAGAGUUCAUAUCGACGGCGGUGUUUGGCACCUCGAUGUCGGCUCAUCACAUCCUGGGGCUGAAGUAGGUCCCAAGGGUAUGGCUGUUCGCCAUUUAAAGUGGUACGCGAGCUGGGUUUAGAACGUCGUGAGACAGUUCGGUCCCUAUCUGCCGUGGGCGCUGGAGAACUGAGGGGGGCUGCUCCUAGUACGAGAGGACCGGAGUGGACGCAUCACUGGUGUUCGGGUUGUCAUGCCAAUGGCACUGCCCGGUAGCUAAAUGCGGAAGAGAUAAGUGCUGAAAGCAUCUAAGCACGAAACUUGCCCCGA
rnacentral:rRNA from 2 species